rnacentral:rRNA from 1 species
GAUGAACGCUGGCGGCGUGCCUAAUACAUGCAAGUCGAGCGAACAGAUGAGGAGCUUGCUCCUCUAACGUUAGCGGCGGACGGGUGAGUAACACGUGGAUAACCUACCUAUAAGACUGGGAUAACUUCGGGAAACCGGAGCUAAUACCGGAUAAUAUAUUGAACCGCAUGGUUCAAUAGUGAAAUACGGUUUUUCUGUCACUUAUAGAUGGAUCCGCGCCGCAUUAGCUAGUUGGUAAGGUAACGGCUUACCAAGGCAACGAUGCGUAGCCGACCUGAGAGGGUGAUCGGCCACACUGGAACUGAGACACGGUCCAGACUCCUACGGGAGGCAGCAGUAGGGAAUCUUCCGCAAUGGGCGAAAGCCUGACGGAGCAACGCCGCGUGAGUGAUGAAGGUCUUCGGAUCGUAAAACUCUGUUAUUAGGGAAGAACAAAUGUGUAAGUAACUAUGCACGUAUUGACGGUACCUAAUCAGAAAGCAACGGCUAACUACGUG